GACGAACGCUGGCGGCGUGCUUAACACAUGCAAGUCGAACGAAGAGCGACGGAAGCUUGCUUCUAUCAAUCUUAGUGGCGAACGGGUGAGUAACGCGUAAUCAACCUGCCCUUCAGAGGGGGACAACAGUUGGAAACGACUGCUAAUACCGCAUACGAUCUAAUCUCGGCAUCGAGGAUAGAUGAAAGGUGGCCUCUACAUGUAAGCUAUCACUGAAGGAGGGGAUUGCGUCUGAUUAGCUAGUUGGAGGGGUAACGGCCCACCAAGGCGAUGAUCAGUAGCCGGUCUGAGAGGAUGAACGGCCACAUUGGGACUGAGACACGGCCCAGACUCCUACGGGAGGCAGCAGUGGGGAAUCUUCCGCAAUGGACGAAAGUCUGACGGAGCAACGCCGCGUGAGUGAUGACGGCCUUCGGGUUGUAAAGCUCUGUUAAUCGGGACGAAAGGCCUUCUUGCGAACAGUUAG
rnacentral:rRNA from 1 species